UCAAAUUCCUCACAAGGACCACAUAAUUGAUCAAUUGAGCAGAUUAAUUUUAAAUUUUUUUUUGAGUUAAUACUAACCAAAAUCAAUUAAUUGAAAACAAAAUUUAACCCAACCAAUCGACAUACAACCACCCCAAUCAGCUUGAAUUCAUGAAAUACAUCUUCAUUCUUUUAGUUAAAUAUUUUUCUAAAGGAAAUUCGACAAGACUUAUUCAUGAAAGUUGCAAGCAUCAAAUAUGUUAGAAAAUCAAUAAAUUGAUUCUCC
rnacentral:lncRNA from 1 species